ACUGCUCAGUAACACGUGGAUAAUCUGCCCUCAGGUGAGGAAUAAUCCCGGGAAACUGGGGCUAAUGCCUCAUAGGAGACGGGUGCUGGAAUGCUCUGUCUCCGAAAGGUCCGCCGCCUGAGGAUGAGUCUGCGUCCGAUUAGGUUGUUGUUGGGGUAACGGCCCAACAAGCCUUUGAUCGGUACGGGUUGUGGGAGCAAGAGCCCGGAGAUGGAUUCUGAGACAUGAAUCCAGGCCCUACGGGGCGCAGCAGGCGCGAAAACUUUACAAUGCGAGCAAUCGUGAUAAGGAAACCCUGAGUGCCUGUCAAUGCAGGCUGUUCUGGUGUCUAACACACACCAGGAGAAAGGGCGGGGCAAGACCGGUGCCAGCCGCCGCGGUAAUACCGGCUGCUCGAGUGAUAGCCACUUUUACUGGGCUUAAAGCGUUCGUAGCUUGGUCGUUAAGUCUCUGGGGAAAUCUUUUGGCUCAACCAAAAGGCGUCUCAGGGAAACUGACGAUCUUGGAACCGGGAGAGGUAAGACGUACUUCGGGGGUAGGAGUGAAAUCUUGUAAUCCCCGAGGGACGACCGAUGGCGAAGGCAUCUUACCAGAACGGCUUCGACAGUGAGGGACGAAAGCUGGGGGAGCAAACCGGAUUAGAUACCCGGGUAGUCCCAGCCGUAAACGAUGUGCGUUAGGUGUGUCAGUGACCACGAGUCGCUGAGGUGCCGAAGGGAAACCGCGAAACGCACCGCCUGGGAAGUACGGUCGCAAGGCUGAAACUUAAAGGAAUUGGCGGGGGAGCAC
rnacentral:rRNA from 1 species